rnacentral:tRNA from 1 species
GGACCAUUAGCUCAGUUGGUUAGAGCAACCGGCUCAUAACCGGUCGGUCCGGGGUUCAAGUCCCUGAUGGUCCA